rnacentral:RNase_P_RNA from 1 species
CUAAGACUUCGGUUAUGCGUCAGUAGGUCUGAAAAGUGCCACAGUGACGAAACGUUCAGGGAAACCUGAACGGUGGAACGGGUAAACCCCGCGAGCGAUUAACACAAACUUUUGGUUGGGGCUUUUUGCAAAGCAAACUUAAGCGACGGCAAUACAGCGGCAUCUCUGAGAUAGAUGAUGACUGAAUGAACCCGCGCCUGAACAUGUUCUUGAACAUUACAUUGCUUAUAGUG